UAUAAGGGAUUUUGAGUUUUUACUUGCUACGUUUGACCACUCGUCUUAUUCAAAAUUUUUUAAAAUUAUUAAUUAUUUUAUUUGUGACUUGCUUUAUUAUUUAUGGUACUUUAAGCACAACUUUUCGUUUUUUAUAUUUGUAAAAAAAAUUUAAAUAAGACGAGUGGUCAAACGUUACCAGCAAAAACUGAAAAUCCCUUAUA
rnacentral:pre_miRNA from 1 species